rnacentral:rRNA from 1 species
GGAAGUAAAAGUCGUAACAAGGUUUCCGUAGGUGAACCUGCGGAAGGAUCAUUAAAGAAUUUGCCCCGUCCUCUCGAGGAUGGGUCCUCUUCUAAACCGUGUAUACAUACCUUUGUUGCUUUGGCGGGCCGCCGUCUCGGCGUUGGCUUCGGCUGACUGUGCCCGCCAGAGGACCCCAACUCUUCUGUUUAGUAUUGUCUGAGUACUAUAUAAUAGUUAAAACUUUCAACAACGGAUCUCUUGGUUCUGGCAUCGAUGAAGAACGCAGCGAAAUGCGAUAAGUAAUGUGAAUUGCAGAAUUCAGUGAAUCAUCGAAUCUUUGAACGCACAUUGCGCCCCUUGGUAUUCCGAGGGGCAUGCCUGUUCGAGCGUCAUUAUAACCACUCAAGCCUCGGCUUGGUAUUGGGGUUUCGCGGUCUCGCGGCCCUUAAAACCAGUGGCGGUGUCAUCUGGCUCUAAGCGUAGUAAUUCUCUCGCUACAGGGUCCAGGUGGUUACUUGCCAAAACCCCCUAUUUUCUAUGGUUGACCUCGGAUCAGGUAGGGAUACCCGCUGAACUUAAGCAUAUCAAUAAGCGGAGGA